rnacentral:misc_RNA from 1 species
GAUGAAGAACUUAGCGAAAUGCGAUAAGUAAUGUGAAUUGCAGAAUUCAGUGAAUCAUCGAAUCUUUGAACGCACAUUGCGCCCUAUGGUAUUCCGUAGGGCAUGCCUGUUCGAGCGUCAUUACAACCCUCAAGCUCUGCUUGGUAUUGGGCGUCGUCCCCUAAACGGACGUGCCUCAAAGACCUCGGCGGUGGCGUCUUUGCCUCAAGCGUAGUAAUAUUUUUAUCUCGCUUUGGAGUCGAAGGCGUCGCCCGCCGGACGAAACCUUUAUUUUUUCUAUCAAGGUUGACCUCGGAUCAGGUAGGGAUACCCGCUGAACUUAAGCAUAUCAAUAAGCGGAGGA